GGUUAUAUCACUUUGAAACACUAGUUCCUGUAUGAUCACUGAAGUCAAGCAAUGUUGAGCCUGGUCAGUAUCUAGAUGGGUAACUGCUUGGGAAUACCGGGUAAUGUAA